GAAUUCGCCCUUAGAGUUUGAUCCUGGCUCAGGACGAACGCUGGCGGCGCGCCUAACACAUGCAAGUCGAACGAGCGAGAGAGAGCUUGCUUUCUCGAGCGAGUGGCGAACGGGUGAGUAACGCGUGAGGAACCUGCCUCAAAGAGGGGGACAACAGUUGGAAACGACUGCUAAUACCGCAUAAGCCCACGGGUCGGCAUCGACCAGAGGGAAAAGGAGCAAUCCGCUUUGAGAUGGCCUCGCGUCCGAUUAGCUAGUUGGUGAGGUAAUGGCCCACCAAGGCGACGAUCGGUAGCCGGACUGAGAGGUUGAACGGCCACAUUGGGACUGAGACACGGCCCAGACUCCUACGGGAGGCAGCAGUGGGGAAUAUUGCACAAUGGGGGAAACCCUGAUGCAGCGACGCCGCGUGGAGGAAGAAGGUCUUCGGAUUGUAAACUCCUGUUGUUGGGGAAGAUAAUGACGGUACCCAACAAGGAAGUGACGGCUAACUACGUGCCAGCAGCCGCGGUAAAACGUAGGUCACAAGCGUUGUCCGGAAUUACUGGGUGUAAAGGGAGCUCAGGCGGGAAGACAAGUUGGAAGUGAAAUCUAUGGGCUCAACCCAUAAACUGCUUUCAAAACUGUUUUUCUUGAGUAGUGCAGAGGUAGGCGGAAUUCCCGGUGUAGCGGUGGAAUGCGUAGAUAUCGGGAGGAACACCAGUGGCGAAGGCGGCCUACUGGGCACCAACUGACGCUGAGGCUCGAAAGUGUGGGUAGCAAACAGGAUUAGAUACCCUGGUAGUCCACACCGUAAACGAUGAUUACUAGGUGUUGGAGGAUUGACCCCUUCAGUGCCGCAGUUAACACAAUAAGUAAUCCACCUGGGGAGUACGACCGCAAGGUUGAAACUCAAAGGAAUUGACGGGGGCCCGCACAAGCAGUGGAGUAUGUGGUUUAAUUCGAAGCAACGCGAAGAACCUUACCAGGUCUUGACAUCCGAUGCAUAGCUUAGAGAUAAGUGAAGUCCUUCGGGACAUCGAGACAGGUGGUGCAUGGUUGUCGUCAGCUCGUGUCGUGAGAUGUUGGGUUAAGUCCCGCAACGAGCGCAACCCUUAUUGCCAGUUACUACGCAAGAGGACUCUGGCGAGACUGCCGUUGACAAAACGGAGGAAGGUGGGGAUGACGUCAAAUCAUCAUGCCCUUUAUGACCUGGGCUACACACGUACUACAAUGGCGUUUAACAAAGAGAAGCAAGACCGCGAGGUGGAGCAAAACUCAAAAACAACGUCUCAGUUCAGAUUGCAGGCUGCAACUCGCCUGCAUGAAGUCGGAAUUGCUAGUAAUCGCGGAUCAGCAUGCCGCGGUGAAUACGUUCUCGGGCCUUGCACUCACCGCCCGUCA
rnacentral:rRNA from 1 species